GCAACAGCUCAAAUUUGAAAUCUAGGUCCUAGCGACCUCGAGUUGUAAUUUGUAGAGGAUGUUUCGGGUGAGGUAUCGAUCUAAGUUCCUUGGAACAGGGCGUCAUAGAGGGUGAGAAUCCCGUAUGUGACCGAUAUCCAAUCCCAUGUGAAACUCCUUCGACGAGUCGAGUUGUUUGGGAAUGCAGCUCAAAAUGGGUGGUAAAUUUCAUCUAAAGCUAAAUACUGGCCAGAGACCGAUAGCGCACAAGUAGAGUGAUCGAAAGAUGAAAAGCACUUUGGAAAGAGAGUUAAAAAGUACGUGAAAUUGUUGAAAGGGAAGCGCUUGCAGCCAGACUCGCUCGGGGAUGAUCAACCUUCCUUUUGGAUGGUGCACUCUUCCUCGAUCGGGCCAGCAUCGGUUCGGUCGGCUGGAUAAAGGUUCUAGGAACGUAGCUCCUCUCGGGGAGUGUUAUAGCCUAGUUCGUAAUGCAGCCAGACUGGACCGAGGACCGCGCUUUUUGCUAGGAUGCUGGCGUAAUGGCUGUCAGCGACCCGUCUUGAAACACGGACCAAGGAGUCAACCAACCGUGCGAGUGUUUGGGUGUAAAACCCACACGCGUAAUGAAAGUGAACGGAGGUGAGAACCCCUUUAGGGGCGCAUCAUCGACCGAUCCUGAUGUCUUCGGAUGGAUUUGAGUAAGAGCACAGCUGGUUGGACCCGAAAGAUGGUGAACUAUGCGUGAAUAGGGUGAAGCCAGAGGAAACUCUGGUGGAGGCUCGCAGCGGUUCUGACGUGCAAAUCGAUCGUCAAAUUUGCGUAUAGGGGCGAAAGACUAAUCGAACCAUCUAGUAGCUGG
rnacentral:rRNA from 1 species